rnacentral:rRNA from 1 species
UGAGGAAUAUUGGUCAAUGGGCGAGAGCCUGAACCAGCCAAGUCGCGUGAAGGAAGACUGCCCGCAAGGGUUGUAAACUUCUUUUGUAUGGGAUUAAAGUCACCUACGUGUAGGUGUUUGCAGUUACCAUACGAAUAAGCAUCGGCUAACUCCGUGCCAGCAGCCGCGGUAAUACGGAGGAUGCGAGCGUUAUCCGGAAUUAUUGGGUUUAAAGGGAGCGUAGGCUGGAGAUUAAGUGUGUUGUGAAAUGUAGACGCUCAACGUCUGAAUUGCAGCGCAUACUGGUUUCCUUGAGUACGCACAACGUUGGCGGAAUUCGUCGUGUAGCGGUGAAAUGCUUAGAUAUGACGAAGAACUCCGAUUGCGAAGGCAGCUUACGGGAGCGCAACUGACGCUGAAGCUCGAAGGUGCGGGUAUCGAACAGG